rnacentral:lncRNA from 1 species
GCCGUCGGGUACCAUUACUAGAUGGUCACUUCGAUUGGUACAAGAAUUUAUUUUUAUGCUACCGACUUAGGUUCAGACUUAUAAAAUUACACACAUUAGAGUUCAUGAUCUAAUCGGAUGGUUGAUCAACGAUUAAGAAUCGUUCUAGGGUUAAACGAUCAACACGAUUGACAUUUAACCUAGUGCAAGUGUUGCAGGAGGAUCGAUUAGCAAUUCG